rnacentral:rRNA from 1 species
AUUGAACGCUGGCGGCAGGCCUAACACAUGCAAGUCGAGCGGAUGAGGGAAGCUUGCUUCCUGAUUUAGCGGCGGACGGGUGAGUAAUGCCUAGGAAUCUGCCUAUUAGUGGGGGAUAACGUUCCGAAAGGAACGCUAAUACCGCAUACGUCCUACGGGAGAAAGUGGGGGAUCUUCGGACCUCACGCUAAUAGAUGAGCCUAGGUCGGAUUAGCUAGUUGGUGAGGUAAAGGCUCACCAAGGCGACGAUCCGUAGCUGGUCUGAGAGGAUGAUCAGCCACACUGGAACUGAGACACGGUCCAGACUCCUACGGGAGGCAGCAGUGGGGAAUAUUGGACAAUGGGCGAAAGCCUGAUCCAGCCAUGCCGCGUGUGUGAAGAAGGUCUUCGGAUUGUAAAGCACUUUAAGUUGGGAGGAAGGGCUGUAAGCUAAUAUCUUGCAGCUUUGACGUUACCAACAGAAUAAGCACCGGCUAACUCUGUGCCAGCCGCCGCUGUAAGAC